UACGUAGGGGGCUAGCGUUGUCCGGAAUCAUUGGGCGUAAAGAGCGUGUAGGCGGCCCGGUAAGUCCGCUGUGAAAGUCGGGGGCUCAACCCUCGAAUGCCGGUGGAUACUGUCGGGCUAGAGUGCGGAAGAGGCGAGUGGAAUUCCUGGUGUAGCGGUGAAAUGCGCAGAUAUCAGGAGGAACACCGAUUGCGAAGGCAGCUCGCUGGGAGGUCACUGACGCUGAGACGCGAAAGCGUGGGGAGCAAACAGG
rnacentral:rRNA from 1 species